UGGACGAACGGGGAAUUGAACCCCGGACCUCUCCCAAGCUAUAUAUCUAACCAAGUGAACUUGGCUCAUAAGAUGCUAAGGGAAAAUCAUACCACUAGACCAUUCGCCC